rnacentral:rRNA from 1 species
CUGGCUCAGGAUGAACGCUAGCGGCGCGCUUAAUGCAUGCAAGUCGAACGAUGAGGCCCCUACGGGGGUACAUCAGUGGCAGACGGGUGAGUAACACGUAGGUAACCUGCCCUCGAGACGGGGAUAACGGCUGGAAACGGUCGCUAAGACCCGAUAUAGUCUGACCUUCGGGAGAAGGUGAGAGGAAAGGCUUCGGUGCUCGGGGAGGGGCCUGCGGCCCAUCAGCUAGUUGGAGAGGUAACGGCUCCCCAAGGCAAUGACGGGUAGGGGGUGUGAGAGCAUGGCCCCCCACACUGGGACUGAGACACGGCCCAGACUCCUACGGGAGGCAGCAGCAGGGAAUAUUGCGCAAUGGACGGAAGUCUGACGCAGCGACGCCGCGUGGAUGACGAAGGCCUUCGGGUUGUAAAAUCCUUUUCCGGGCGAUGAGGAAGGACACUAGCCUGGGAAUAAGCGUCGGCUAACUACGUGCCAGCAGCCGCGGUAAGACGUAGGACGCGAGCGUUAUCCGGAUUUACUGGGCGUAAAGCGCCUGCAGGCGGUCAGGUAAGUCGGUUGUGAAAGCCCCGUGCUCAACGCGGGGAGGCCAAGCGAUACUGCGUGACUUGAGGGCGGAAGAGGGGAGUGGAAUUCCCGGUGUAGCGGUAAAAUGCGCAGAUAUCGGGAGGAACACCAGUGGCGAAGGCGGCUCCCUGGAACGUACCUGACGCUCAGAGGCGAAAGCUAAGGGAGCGAACAGGAUUAGAGAACCUGGUAAGUCUAGCCCUAAACGCUGGAUGCUAGGUGUAAGGCUUGAUGAAGCUCUGUGCCG